rnacentral:rRNA from 1 species
CACUCUAAGGAGACUGCCGGUGUUAAACCGGAGGAAGGCGGGGAUGACGUCAAGUCCUCAUGGCCCUUAUGUCCAGGGCUACACACGUGCUACAAUGGCCGGUACAAAGGGUAGCAAGACCGCGAGGUGGAGCCAACCCCAAAAAGCCGGUCUCAGUUCGGAUUGGAGUCUGCAACUCGACUCCAUGAAGUUGGAAUCGCUAGUAAUCGUGGAUCAGCACGCCGCGGUGAAUACGUUCCCGGGCCUU